rnacentral:rRNA from 1 species
GUGGGGAAUAUUGGACAAUGGGCGCAAGCCUGAUCCAGCCAUGCCGCGUGGGUGAAGAAGGCCUUCGGGUUGUAAAGCCCUUUUGUCCGGAAAGAAAAGCACUGGAUUAAUACUUCGGUGUUCUGACGGUACCGGAAGAAUAAGCACCGGCUAACUUCGUGCCAGCAGCCGCGGUAAUACGAAGGGUGCAAGCGUUACUCGGAAUUACUGGGCGUAAAGCGUGCGUAGGUGGUUCGUUAAGUCUGAUGUGAAAGCCCUGGGCUCAACCUGGGAAUUGCAUUGGAUACUGGCGGGCUAGAGUGCGGUAGAGGAUGGCGGAAUUCCCGGUGUAGCAGUGAAAUGCGUAGAGAUCGGGAGGAACAUCUGUGGCGAAGGCGGCCAUCUGGACCAGCACUGACACUGAGGCACGAAAGCGUGGGGAGCAAACAGGAUUAGAAACCCCGGUAGUCC